CUUUCAGCCCCUCCCCCCUCAACCUCUGGGGAGGUAGGAGGGCUGGAGAUUGCGUGGAUCAUGAUGGCGUGAUGACACCUCCAUAAAACUCCUACAUGACAGGGUUUGGAGAGCUUCCAGGUUGGUGAGCACAUUGAGGUGCUGGGAGAUGUUCGAGGAAGGCAUGGAAACUCCAUGCACUGUCCCCCACUUCCUUGCCCUAUGCGUCUCUUCCAUUGGACUGUUCCUGAGCUGUAUCCUUUUUAACGAACCGAUAAUAGUAAGAACAGUGUCUUCCUGAGUUCUGGGAGCCAUUCUAGCAAAUUAUUGAACUUGAGGGGGGUGGGGGUGGGAAUCCCCAGCUUGUGGCCGGCCGGUCAGAAGUACAGGCGCCUUAGGACUCGUGACUGACGUCUGAAGUGAGGGCAGGCUGGUGAAACUGAGCUGUUUAAUUUGUGGGGUCUGAUCCUAACCCCCGGAAGUUAGUGUCAGAAUUGAACUGAACUGUGGGACAUCCAGACAGUGACCGGAGAACCAGAGAUCUGGUAGUUGCCAUUGGAAAACAGCCAGUGGCGUUCUUGAGAGAGCGACAUAAAUCUGUCCAUCGUUAAACGUGGACAUCAGAAGGUACACGCAUCUUCCGUCACAAGCGUAUAGCUGACUCAGAAGCACAGUUUCAUUUUUAAGACUCAUAUUAAGAUCAAAAUAGAAGUGUCUAGCUGUGUAUGGAACAGAGGAGAUGCUCCGAAUGUAUUUGGUGAAUGGACCGAUGAGUUUACUUUAAGAAUGUGGCCGAAGGGGUGCCUGGGUGGCUCAGUCGGUUAAGCGUCCGACUGCAACUGAGGUCAUGAUCUCACAAUUCAUGAGUUUGAGCCCCGCACCUGGCUCUGUGCCGACGACAGCUCAGAGCCUAGAGCCUGCUUUAGAUUCUGUGUCCCCCUCUCUCUCUGUCCCUCCCCCUCUCACGCUCUGUUUCUGUCUCUCUCUCUCUC